UUGGUAUUGUGGUCAAGACGCCGGGCUCGCAACCUGAUGGUCGUAGGUUCGAGCCCGGU
rnacentral:tRNA from 1 species